GGCUAUGUUUGGGGGGGCUUUUUUGCUCCCCUGCUUAUAAGCACAAGAGCAUCAAGUGUUUGGUGACUGAGCUUAUUCUCAGGUUUUGAAAAAAGCUGCCCCAGCUUCUAUCUAAAAGCAGAAGCUGACUCCCCCCAGCUUUUAGAAGCCAGAAGCUCGAUCGAUACUGUAGCGGUAGUUACUGUUCAUUAAUGAAUUUUUUUAAAUCCCGAAUUCUAUCCUCCGUUGGCUGAAACAAUUACAGCCAUCUGCCACCCACCCUCGAUAUCAGUCUCUCGCUCUCCCAUCUCCCAUCUCCCUCUGCUCGAUCCCAUCUCCCUCAAAUAACAUCACAGAACGCAUCCCAUCCGAUCUCCCUCUGUUCGAUCUCCCUCUCACAGAACCCAUCCAAUCACAGAACGCAUCCCAUCCGAUCUCCCUCUGCUCGAUCUCCCUCUCACAGAACCCAUCCAAUCACAGAAUGCAUCUCGGCCUCACUUGCAUCUGAAAUUGAAGCCUCAAUCAAGCAAUUUUCGAAUCAAGCAAGGAAUCAUACUUCAGUCCUGCUAAUUGAUUGCUGCAUGGUUGCCUGACUAAGCUGCAAAUGGACUGGAAUGCAAACAUUGUGCUGCAAUAUGCUGUUGUUGGCUUGUUGAACCUGAAGAGAAGGAGUAAAGCCAUUGGUCUGUUGCAAUAAAUUCAGUUGGCUGUGUUUGUGAAUUUGUGAUAUAGAGCUUCAGUUCUUUACCUUUUUUGCUUUUUUCUAUUUGGAUUUCAGCCAUUCAGACAUUGUCAUGUUAUUUAAUUUUGUGAGUUUGUCUUGCUGGCUUGACACUCUUUGGCUUUGCCAUGAAAAGUUGAAAACUCAUCAAGUCCGAAACUUUCAUAAUUUCCAGCUUCUUGAACUGAUGAUUUGUUAAACUGCUGGUCCUCUUGAAUUUGAAUUUUCAAUUCCUAUUUGAUCUUUCA